rnacentral:rRNA from 1 species
UAUUGCACAAUGGGGGGAACCCUGAUGCAGAGACGCCGCGUGGGUGAAGAAGUAUUUCGGUAUGUAAACUUCUAUCAGCAGGGAAGAAAAUGACGGUACCUGACUAAGAAGCCCCGGCUAACUACGUGCCCGCAGCCGCGGUAAUACGUAGGGGGCAAGCGUUAUCCGGAUUUACUGGGUGUAAAGGGAGCGUAGACGGCGAUGCAAGCCAGGUGUGAAAGCCCGGGGCUCAACCCCGGGACUGCAUUUGGAACUGUGUGGCUGGAGUGUCGGAGAGGCAAGUGGAAUUCCUAGUGUAGCGGUGAAAUGCGUAGAUAUUAGGAGGAACACCAGUGGCGAAGGCGGCUUGCUGGACGAUGACUGACGUUGAGGCUCGAAAGCGUGGGGAGCAAACAGG